rnacentral:rRNA from 1 species
UACAGAGGGUGCGAGCGUUGUUCGGAAUUAUUGGGCGUAAAGGGCGCGUAGGCGGUGCCACAAGUCACUUGUGAAAUCCCCGGGCUUAACUCGGGGCCUGCAGGCGAAACUGUGGUGCUGGAGUGUGGCAGAGGGGGGUGGAAUUCCAGGUGUAGCAGUGAAAUGCGUAGAGAUGUGGAGGAACACCGAUGGCGAAGGCAGCCCCCUGGGUCAAGAUUGACGCUCAUGCACGAAAGCGUGGGGAGCAAACAGG